rnacentral:tRNA from 1 species
UGGUUUUGUGGUGUAGUUGGUUAUCACGUCAGUCUAACACGCUGAAGGUCUCCGGUUCGAACCCGGGUGAAGCCAU